rnacentral:rRNA from 1 species
CCUACGGGAGGCAGCAGUGGGGAAUAUUGGACAAUGGGGGAAACCCUGAUCCAGCGACGCCGCGUGAGUGAAGAAGUAUUUCGGUACGUACAGCUCUAUCAGCAGGCAAGAAAAUGACGGUACCUGACUCAGAAGCGCCGGCUAACUACGUGCCAGCAGCCGCGGUAAGACGUAGGGGGCAAGCGUUCUCCGGAUUUACUGGGUGUAAAGGGAGCGUAGACGGCAGCGCAAGUCUGGAGUGAAAUGCCGGGGCCCAACCCCGGAACUGCUCUGGAAACUGUGAAGCUGGAGUGCAGGAGAGGUAAGCGGAAUUCCUGGUGUAGCGGUGAAAUGCGUAGAUAUCAGGAGGAACACCGGCGGCGAAGGCGGCUUACUGGACUGUAACUGACGUUGAGGCUCGAAGGCGUGGGGAGCAAACAGGAUUAGAUACCCCUGUAGUC